UAGGGAAUCUUCGGCAAUGGACGGAAGUCUGACCGAGCAACGCCGCGUGAGUAAAGAAGGUUUUCGGAUCGUAAAGCUCUGUUGUAAGAGAAGAACGAGUGUGAGAGUGGAAAGUUCACACUGUGACGGUAACUUACCAGAAAGGGACGGCUAACUACGUGCCAGCAGCCGCGGUAAUACGUAGGUCCCGAGCGUUAUCCGGAUUUAUUGGGCGUAAAGCGAGCGCAGGCGGUUAGAUAAGUCUGAAGUUAAAGGCUGUGGCUUAACCAUAGUACGCUUUGGAAACUGUUUAACUUGAGUGCAGAAGGGGAGAGUGGAAUUCCAUGUGUAGCGGUGAAAUGCGUAGAUAUAUGGAGGAACACCGGUGGCGAAAGCGGCUCUCUGGUCUGUAACUGACGCUGAGGCUCGAAAGCGUGGGGAGCAAACAGGAUUAGAUACCCUGGUAGUCCACGCCGUAAACGAUGAGUGCUAGGUGUUGGGUCCUUUCCGGGACUCAGUGCCGCAGCUAACGCAUUAAGCACUCCGCCUGGGGAGUACGACCGCAAGGUUG
rnacentral:rRNA from 1 species